UACGGGGGGAGCAAGCGUUGUUCGGAUUUACUGGGCGUAAAGGGCGCGUAGGCGGCCAACUAAGUCAGACGUGAAAUCCCCAGGCUCAACCUGGGAACUGCGUCUGAUACUGGAUGGCUUGAAUUCGGGAGAGGGAUGCAGAAUUCCAGGUGUAGCGGUGAAAUGCGUAGAUAUCAGGAGGAACACCAAUUGCGAAGGCAGCUCGCUGGGACGUUACUGACGCUGAGACGCGAAAGCGUGGGGAGCAAACAGG
rnacentral:rRNA from 1 species